UUUCCGCUUUCAUCGCUCUUGACCUAAUUCCUUCUUGUAACCGAGCCUCCUCACGAGCAAGUCGUGCACCUCGCAUGGCGAUGAGGACGCCUGGGCUACGACAAGGACGCCCACAGCGGCAAGGACGCUCGAAGCCGCUUCAAAGCCGCCAUUGGUAAGCCUCCAGUGCUCAACAUCGUCACCUUCGCCAAGAUCGAAAGCGACCAAAUCAAGGUUUUUUCUUUCCCCAAAUCACAUUUUAGAAUCUAAGUUUUUAAAUCCACCCAUGCUCCACCACCAUCCAUGACCUCCUCUGGAACCACAACCUCCUCGACAAGUUGAUCCCCAAGUCCAUCAAGUGCUUCUCCUACGACAACGCCUCCGGUCUCCUCGAGGUCUGACUCUAUGGCCCCUGCUAUGCGCACUACGAAGACAGGCUCACCUACUUCGACAGCGAGGUGCGGGGGAACCUCAGCUACGACACUCUGUAGGGUGGUUGGGUGGGUGCAGGAGGAGUUGUUCCUUAAAUUCCUGAUUAAGGAGAUCAUGGUCACCGAUCCCACCUUUGGUGUGAUCAUCUUCGACAUCGACAUUGUGCGCAAGCGCCUUCCCGCCUCCGCCUUCGACCUGCCGCCGAAAUGCCACCUGGAAGUGGAAGAAGUGACCAUCAGAAUAGUCAUUUGCAGAGUUGUUGCGAAUAGUUGGAGAAUUUCUUCAUUAGAGUUGAUCAUCACAAAAAAAAGUAAUUCAUAAAAUUGCCAAUGGUUGCACUACUUGAUGAAGUUAAGAUCCAAGGUUUUGUUCUUAUUGCAAAGGGUUUAUUUUCAACUUUCAAAGAUGAGGCUAUCUUCUUCAAAUCUCUCUGAUCACUAAAAGAAGGUAUUUCUUUACUAGUUCCUUCUCAUCUUAUUGUUACUGUUGAUGUAUUAUAUUACACUUGGCUGCUUUAAAGCCUAUUUUAAUAAUUUUUUCUUCAACUGGAUUUUCCUUGCAAGUAACCUACAGUUUUAAAAGGACUUGAUUUCCUACCAAACUUCCUUGCAUCUUGGUUUAUACAAUAGCAGACAUGGUGUUCAAAGGAAGUUAUGCAUUAUGAAUAUUAGUUGAAUAAUAACUUAAUGUUUUUCUCUGACAUAUAGAGAAGAAAAUUUUUACCAGAUUGAAUUUUUAACUUCCUUGACUUAGCCAAUAACUAAUUGUUUUUCUCUAACCUUUCAGAUGACACUUUCAUAGGUGUAAAUGAUAUUUCCAUUUAUUUGGAAUAUUUGACAAUCUUCAAGUUCUAUGUGAAGCCUUUACAAAGAUUCAAAAUAUUUGUUUAUAUUAUUAGAAAAUCUGUCUGCAUUCUUCUUUUAAUUUUUAGCAACGAUAUCAGAGAGUUCGCGGAUAACAAAUCGACCUGAGUUAGUGAAUAAAAUAGAGAAAAACAAAAUGUUGAUGACUACUCUACUCAUUCUUCAUUCAAUCUUCAAUAAUGAUGUGAUGUGGUGGGUGGAAAUUUUGCUAGAGGGUGGCGGUCUACAGUGAUGUGAUGGGUGAAUCAUGUAAGGGGAUGGUGUAUGAACUUCAACGUGAUCGACACUUUGGAAGAUCAAAUAAUUAAAGUUUCAAUAGAUUUGUUCUAAUAAGAAGAAUAAAGAAUUAUCACAAGAAAUUUAAGACAUGCAUACUACUAGCAAGAGGAUGGAGGAAGAAAUUAUUAAAAGGAAAAGAAAAUUGGAAUCCUAAUGUAUGAUUGCUUUUAUCUCAAGACUAUGUGAAUGUUUAUUUAUCUCAAUGGUAAUCAUAUUGUACUUUUGGAUUUAGAAAUUAGUUAUUUUAAUAUUUUUAAUUUAUUUGAAA